GACGAACGUUGGCGGCGUGCUUAACACAUGCAAGUCGAACGGAAAGGCCCUGCUUUUGUGGGGUGCUCGAGUGGCGAACGGGUGAGUAACACGUGAGUAACCUGCCCUUGACUUUGGGAUAACUCCAGGAAACUGGGGCUAAUACCGGAUAGGAGCUCCUGCUGCAUGGUGGGGGUUGGAAAGUUUCGGCGGUUGGGGACGGACUCGCGGCUUAUCAGCUUGUUGGUGGGGUAGUGGCUUACCAAGGCUUUGACGGGUAGCCGGCCUGAGAGGGUGACCGGCCACAUUGGGACUGAGAUACGGCCCAGACUCCUACGGGAGGCAGCAGUGGGGAAUAUUGCACAAUGGGCGGAAGCCUGAUGCAGCAACGCCGCGUGCGGGAUGACGGCCUUCGGGUCGUAAACCGCUUUCGCCUGUGACGAAGCGUGAGUGACGGUAAUGGGUAAAGAAGCACCGGCUAACUACGUGCCAGCAGCCGCGGUGAUACGUAGGGUGCGAGCGUUGUCCGGAUUUAUUGGGCGUAAAGGGCUCGUAGGUGGUUGAUCGCGUCGGAAGUGUAAUCUUGGGGCUUAACCCUGAGCGUGCUUUCGAUACGGGUUGACUUGAGGAAGGUAGGGGAGAAUGGAAUUCCUGGUGGAGCGGUGGAAUGCGCAGAUAUCAGGAGGAACACCAGUGGCGAAGGCGGUUCUCUGGGCCUUUCCUGACGCUGAGGAGCGAAAGCGUGGGGAGCGAACAGGCUUAGAUACCCUGGUAGUCCACGCUGUAAACGGUGGGUACUAGGUGUGGGGUCCAUUCCACGGGUUCCGUGCCGUAGCUAACGCUUUAAGUACCCCGCCUGGGGAGUACGGCCGCAAGGCUAAAACUCAAAGGAAUUGACGGGGCCCCGCACAAGCGGCGGAGCAUGCGGAUUAAUUCGAUGCAACGCGUAGAACCUUACCUGGGUUUGACAUGGAUCGGGAGCGCUCAGAGAUGGGUGUGCCUCUUUUGGGGUCGGUUCACAGGUGGUGCAUGGCUGUCGUCAGCUCGUGUCGUGAGAUGUUGGGUUAAGUCCCGCAACGAGCGCAACCCUUGUUCACUGUUGCCAGCACGUUAUGGUGGGGACUCAGUGGAGACCGCCGGGGUCAACUCGGAGGAAGGUGGGGAUGACGUCAAGUCAUCAUGCCCCUUAUGUCCAGGGCUUCACGCAUGCUACAAUGGCUGGUACAGAGAGUGGCGAGCCUGUGAGGGUGAGCGAAUCUCGGAAAGCCGGUCUCAGUUCGGAUUGGGGUCUGCAACUCGACCUCAUGAAGUCGGAGUCGCUAGUAAUCGCAGAUCAGCAACGCUGCGGUGAAUACGUUCCCGGG
rnacentral:rRNA from 1 species